UACAGAGGGUGCGAGCGUUAAUCGGAAUUACUGGGAGUAAAGGGCGCGUAGGCGGCUUUUCAAGUGACGGGUGAAAUCCCUCGGCUUAACCGAGGAACUGCCUGUCAGACUGGAAGGCUUGAGACCGGGAGAGGUGAGUGGAAUUCCCAGUGUAGCGGUGAAAUGCGUAGAUAUUGGGAGGAACACCAGUGGCGAAGGCGGCUCACUGGACCGGAACUGACGCUGAGGCGCGAAAGCGUGGGGAGCAAACAGG
rnacentral:rRNA from 1 species